rnacentral:rRNA from 1 species
GAUGAACGCUGGCGGCGUGCCUAAUACAUGUAAGUCGAGCGAACAGACGAGGAGCUUGCUCCUCUGACGUUAGCGGCGGACGGGUGAGUAACACGUGGAUAACCUACCUAUAAGACUGGGAUAACUUCGGGAAACCGGAGCUAAUACCGGAUAAUAUAUUGAACCGCAUGGUUCAAUAGUGAAAGACGGUUUUGCUGUCACUUAUAGAUUGAUCCGCGCCGCAUUAGCUAGUUGGUAAGGUAACGGCUUACCAAGGCGACGAUGCGUAGCCGACCUGAGAGGGUGAUCGGCCACACUGGAACUGAGACACGGUCCAGACUCCUACGGGAGGCAGCAGUAGGGAAUCUUCCGCAAUGGGCGAAAGCCUGACGGAGCAACGCCGCGUGAGUGAUGAAGGUCUUCGGAUCGUAAAACUCUGUUAUUAGGGAAGAACAAAUGUGUAAGUAACUAUGCACGUCUUGACGGUACCUAAUCAGAAAGCCACGGCUAACUACGUG